CGCUGUAAACGAUGUCGAUUUGGAGUUUGGGGGCAUGACCCUUGGGCUCCGGAGCUAACGCGUUAAAUCGACCGCUGGGGAGUACGGCCGCAAGGUUAAAACUCAAAUGAAUUGACGGGGGCCCGCACAAGCGGUGGAGCAUGUGGUUUAAUUCGAUGCAACGCGAAGAACCUUACCUGGUCUUGACAUCCAUAGAAUCUUUCAGAGAUGAGGGAGUGCCUUCGGGAGCUACGAGACAGGUGCUGCAUGGCUGUCGUCAGCUCGUGUUGUGAAAUGUUGGGUUAAGUCCCGCAACGAGCGCAACCCCUAUCCUUUGUUGCCAGCACGUAAUGGUGGGAACUCAAAGGAGACUGCCGUUGAUAAAGCGGAGGAAGGUGGGGACGACGUCAAGUCAUCAUGGCCCUUACGACCAGGGCUACACACGUGCUACAAUGGCGUAUACAAAGGGAUGCGAAGGUGCGAACUGGAGCGGACCUCACAAAGUACGUCUAAGUCCGGAUUGGAGUCUGCAACUCGACUCCAUGAAGUCGGAAUCGCUAGUAAUCGUGAAUCAGAACGUCACGGUGAAUACGUUCCCGGGCCUUGUACACACCGCCCGUCACACCAUGGGAGUGGGUUGCACCAGAAGUAGAUAGCUUAACCUUCGGGAGGGCGUUUACCACGGUGUGGUUCAUGACUGGGGUGAAGUCGUAACAAGGUAACCA
rnacentral:rRNA from 1 species